rnacentral:rRNA from 1 species
GACGAACGCUGGCGGCGUGCUUAACACAUGCAGGUCGAACGGAAAGGUCCUGCUCUUGUGGGGUGCUCGAGUGGCGAACGGGUGAGUAACACGCGAGUAACAUGCCCCUGUCUUUGGGAUAACUUCAGGAAAAUGGGGCUCAUAUCGGAUAGGAGAUACUGAUGCGUGGUGGGGGUUGGAAAGUUUCGGCGGUUGGGGAUGGACUGGCUGCUUAUCAGCUUGUUUGUGGGGUAGUGGCUUACGAAGGCUUUGACGGGUAGCCGGCCUGAGAGGGUUGCCGGCCACCUGGGGACUGCGGGACGGCCCAGUAUCCAACGGGAGGCAGCAGUGGGGAAUAUUGCACAGUGGCGGGAAGUCUGAUGUGGCAACCCCGCGUGCGGGAAGACGUCCUUCGGGGUGUAAACCGCUGUCGCCGGUGACGAAGCGGUAGUGACGGUAAUGGGUAAAGAAGCACCGGCUGACUACGUG